UGGCGAUUGGGGCCCAAAGGGCAGAUUGCCAAUGGUAACGCCAUCUGUACCAUCUUGUGGUGAAGCCUACAACGGUCGUCCUUAUUAACGAAGCCUUGGAGAGGGUGCUAAGAGCAGCCAAAAGUAAAUUUAUGAAUUAAUAUCUCUUGGCCGUAAUAUCCGAUGGAAAUAAAGCAAACAAAUUGGCCCUGCGAAGUGCUUCUGCAGGAGGUUUCGCCUUACGUUAGGAUUUCGACCAUGUACAUGGGAUUAUGUCAAGUAAGCUUGGAGCUCCCCCAGGCUACCGCCUGAACAUAACCUAAGUUAACCCGCCGGACAAUGUACGGCCAGCCUUCCUAAGGGAAAUAAAAGAGAUCAAAUCUGUUAUUCAAAAAAGAUUUCAGAUCCCGAAUACGCAAGGCGGAUUCAGAAUGAAAUUCGCAAAUAAUGACAGUUUGGAAUCAUCAGCUAAUGUCCUCAAGAAAUAUUUGCCCAGGCUGGUGAAGAGCCUUAAUAAAAUUAAUCCUGAUCUGGUUGGUGUUGGAGGAGGAGUCGGCACAUUCCAUGG